CACAGGGACCAGCAGGGUGAGCAGUCAGUGUUUGACCAAGGGUCCCUUGAGGAGCGCUGAGGGAGCUGGGCGUGUUUAGCCUGGAGCAGACUCAGGGGGGCCUCUUCUUUCUCUACAACUGCCUGAAAAGAGGUUGUAAUAAGAGGGUGUUCUGCAGAGAAGAAGUUCUUUGAGUUCCAUCUGUCCAGGACUGGCUUCCUCUCUGCUGUCACCAUGGCAGUGUCACUUAGAACUGCAUGGCCCCGCCUCCUCUGGAUGCGUUCAGCAGCAGCCUGUAAGCAGGUCCCACUGCAGAGUGGAGCUGUGUAUCAUGCUUGCCAUAAAUCUACAUACUCAGUUCUCCCUGAAGACUACAAUUGCAAAGUGGAACUUGCAGUGACAUCUGAUUUGAAGACAAUUGUCUGCUACCACCCUUCGCUUGAGAUUCCAUACGAGCAUACAAAACCCAUACCACGGCCAGAUCCAGUGAAUAAUAAAGAAGAAAACCUUGAUCAAGUUUUAAAAUCCAGAUUGAAUGAAAAAGAGCUAAAGAACAGUAGAGGUCCUACAAUUGAAGAGCUCAGCAAAAUGUUUUACACAACAAAACAUCGCUGGUAUCCUGUGGGACAGUAUCACAGAAGACGCAAGAAUCCUAAUCCUCCCAAAGACCGAUAACCAAGAUAACAAUUUGUUCAUCAGGACUUUGCUGUCAAUUUUGAUUGGAAAUAAAAGUUACAGAAGGUCUUAAACAACUGGCUUUGUUUCUCUUCACUUGGAAACUUGGAAUUCAGAACUCAUCCACUUGAUUAUUGUUCUACUUCUAUGCAAAAAAAAAAAAAAAAAAAAUUGAAAGUUAGUUUGGGAUUUCUGUUUUCUGUUGCCCUUGUUCUUUGUAAUUGAAAACUUAAGUUGCAUGAAAUUUGCAAUGUUAAGUCUGUUCUGGCACUUUGUAUCCCAGUUUGGGCACUUAGCCAUUUGUUUUGUAUCUAGUAGCUGUUGAGUUCCAGAGCAUCUUAGGCUGCUUGCUGUGGGUAGUAGACAGCUGGGUACAUCUUACUGAGGGAUUUUUGGUUUUCAAAAGUCUCACUAAAAGUCUCCUCAAGCCUUGCUUGGUCUGUAUGCCAUUAGAAAACUGUUUCAGUCAUGUAUCAAAAGUUUUGCCCUUAACUCCCAAAAUUGUUAGGUUUGGAAGGGACUUCUGGAGAUCAUAUAGUCCAACAUUUCUGCUAAGGCAAGGUCACCUGCAGGAGGUGACAGGAACACAGCCAGGUGCAUUUGGAAUGUCUGCAGAGGAGAAAACUCCACAACCUCCUUGGGCAGCCUGUUCCAGUGCUCCCGAGCAGGAAUUCGGACCAUUUAAAUCACAGUUCAAUUAAUCUGAGUGCCUCAGCGAAAAGAAGUAUUUCCUCUCCUCUAAUUAUCCCCAGAUUAAAACAGAGCUGAUGCUUUGAAGAGGCUUUUUCCCUUCGGUGCGCGCCGCGGGAGCUGCCGUGCAGGCUGCGUGCGGCACCACCGGGAGGCAGCACCGCCCAGGGCGGAGCGGCACCGGCACCGGGAUCGACACCGGCUCUGCGGCAGCUUGAGCCCCGAGAGGCGGCCCUGGGCUGCUCCCUUCCUGACACUCGGGAGCACUGCGGCAAAAAGCGCUCCUUAACACCUCCCAAAGGACUUGCACUUAAAGGAUCAAAGGUUUUUUGCCUGUUUAACUUUUGUAGGGUGUCUCAGAGACAAAUAAAAAGAGCUCCACCAUCCCAGUCUGGGGAAAAAAUGAGGCGAUAGUGGGGCAGUAAUAACAGCGCAAAUUGGCAGCAGAGGGUUGUGCCAAUGCCCUGUCCCUGCUGCUGUGCUCGUCCUUGUCCCUGUCCCUGUCCCUGCACCGUGGCAGCCCCAGGACAAGCAGGAUCAGGAAGUGUAGCUGGUUUGCUGAUCAGCCUGGCUGGAAUGAGAGCAGCCAAGUGGCUUUGGCUCAUCAGUUCCUAAACUGGUUUCCCCACCAGACAGACGGACAGACGCUGGGACUGGCACACAGGAGACAGGAGGAAUGUGCUGCUGGGCAUGUGACAAAUGUCAUGACUUUGUUUCAUUCCCCAAGAUUGCAGUGAAGGCAGCAGUUACCCUCCUGCCCAUCUGCCCACCCAUCCUGCCAUCCCUCCUCCCCAUCCAGCUAUGAAGUUCUAUAGGAAACUUCUCUCUUGCUGCUGUUAUAAUAGGUCUGAACUUCAUCUGUCAUGUCCAAAUUCUGCUGUGCCACAAUAAAUCCUUGUGGCAGGUCAUUAUAAGUCACAGUACCGACUGCUUGUCAAAGCCAGCGCUGCAUUUCUCAGUUUCUCCCGUCUAUGAAUUUUAGCAGCAUGUAAUUUCUCACAUGCUCAUUCCAUCCUCAAAGCCAAUACAACGUUAUAAAAUGGAGAGAUAAAAUAGAUGUAGGCUGCAUUCCUCAUCUGUAAUAGAUGAUGUAUAUUUUGUUUUAAUGCUACAAAAUAUGCAUAUUUUGUUUUAAUGCUAUUUUGUUAUAUUGUUAUUGUUUUGCUAUUUUGUUACAUUGUUAUAUUGUAUAUAACAAAAUUGACCUAGAGCAAACCCACUAGUCACCAGUAUAAAGGAACAAAUUGUGUACCUACGAUACAUAAAAUUUGGGGUUAUCUCCAAGAUUGAGACAGAUACUAAUUAGACAUCUAAACCUGAGUUAAUCUUCAAAGGCUCCCCUUAU